AGGAGAUGCUGCUUACUGGCAGGGUGCAGCUCUUGACUUCGAGGAAGUCGGCCCUAAUGGUGUGAGCACCUUUGUGGUGCCCCAAAGGUUCUGCCCUGGAAUCUAUUGAGGGAACAGGAGAAGACAGAUAUAUCCCAAAGAUGGAGCAGGAAAGCUUCAGCCAGACAGUCCCUGAUGCCAUCAGCAAGUGACAGAUGGAGAAGGGGACUGCAAGUUGCAAGGAAACAGGCCAGCAAAUGGACUUCAGGACCUCACUAAGAUGCAACUAGCUUAAGCAGUGCCUGAAGUACCAGACAACCCUGGAGCUACAGGAAGAUAAUUGCUAGAACCGUCCAAUUAAAAGGGAAGACCAUACAGAAAAGAAGUGCACAUGCUUGCUCUCUUGACCCAAAACAUCCUGGCAAGCAGUCUGAAGAAAGAAGAAAUGGAAGGCAUCAGACUUGGAAUGUUGGAGCUUGGCAGCCAAGUUAUUGAGCCAUAGAGCAUUACAAUUAAGCUGUUUCAUUGCAGUUGGCUGAAG